rnacentral:lncRNA from 8 species
ACAGAACAGAAGUAACAAGGGUAACAUACUGACAGAGUGAUGGUUGUUCAUCUUCAGCUCUGGAGCUAUGAUCUCUGAGGCUGACAGACAGGGAGCAGUUAGACCCAAGAGGUCGCCAUCAGACGGGCACAGGGAUAGGGACAGGGACAGGGACCUCAGCCCCAGACGGAGAGCAGAAGCUGACCAAAACUAUUUACAGGAGAGACAUCAAGAGGGCAUCAAUGACCUCCCUGCAGGGAAGAGACAAAUGAUGGAGAAGUUUUUCACUCCUGUUCAUAGUCCUCCUCCAGGUGGGAUCACAUCACAGAAGCACCGCCAUCACCGGGAUCAAGAAAAGGAGAUACACAGCUACAGGAGGUCACGGAACAAUGAUAGACGCAGCAGUGAACGCCACGGUCACCACCAUCACCGUGGUAACCAUUUCCAAGAUGACCAGGAGCAAUCCCAUAGACGUCACCAUCAUCAUCCUCAGCACCUUCAUCACGAUGACGAGAUGUCGGAUCACCACACCACCGUCACCCUCUCCAGAGCAUCUUCCUCCUCCCUCUCAUCUUCCUCCUCUUCCUCUUCCUCCGACUCUUCCACCGAAUGGUCCGGCAUUGACGACAAGUUCUCCCUGAAGCACGCCAGCCGGCCGCAGCAUACCAUGUCCUGCUCCAACAUUGCAGGAGGACGACAGUUCCGGGAGGAUGACAGUGAGCUGCAGGUGUAUGCCACGGUCAAACAGGGGCGAAUGCACGGAGGAGGAAGCCCUGGGACCAACCAUCGGGCCCAGGGGAGGGGAGGACAAGAGCCCAGCUACUCCGAGCUCAACCGGGGCCAUAGCCGCAGUGAAGAGGGGUUGCUGCAGAAUACAGGCACUGACAGAGGGAAAGCACGGACACCCCCACACCUGAAGCACGGAUCCCUCUACAAGACAGCCAGCCUGGGCCGUAGCCUGGCCUUCAGUGAAGAGGUCCUGGCUGGGCCAAAGAGGGCGGUGUCCUCGAUCCAGCUCCCCAGUAAAGGCAUCCUGAAAAACAAGGAGGCGCCGCCGGACAUCCGCAAGGCCAAGUCCAUGGAGGUGCUGUCUUCCCGGGUAGCAGGCAAGACAGCAGGGCCCAAGGGGAAGCAGGAUGUGGAGGCUCUGAAGGAUGCAGCCAGGCAGAGCAUGGUGAAGGGGAAGAUACAGUUCUCUGCCUUCCUGGAUGAGAUCACUAAACAGGUCAUCAGCCCCGCCCGUCUCAAUACUCUGGGGGUACCUGUCGAGACUGUAGGACCGGGUCCAGCCAAAACCCCAGCAUCCCCCAAAUCUCAACUGAAAAGUCAGCCCCAGCUUCCCUUGAAAAAGCAGGGAGAUGGGCAGGGGGAGGAGAGGGAAACGGUUACUAAACCUAGAAAACUGAGGAAUGACUCUGACACACGGUCACGGAAAAUAUCUCUCCCUACAAAGUUUGGGUAUGAAAGCAAGAACCACACUCCUUGUCUAGGCAGCCCCCCAACCCACCACUCCAGCCAACCCUACCCGCCCCACCCACCGGCUGGCUAUGAAGACCAACCAGCCUCCCUGCCUGACUUCCAGGGUCCUGUCGGUAAUAGGCAUGGGCGGUAUGGCUCCCUUCUUACAGACGGCACUGUCAGCUCCAGCCCUGAGCCCAGCCAUCACAAACACCGUAGCUACAAACACCUUGACCAGAGCCACAGGCCCACCCAUAGCCCACCUUCAUCUCCACACACCCAGCAACCCCAGCUACCCCACCGCACCCCAAUCCGCACACACUCCCCUCCUCCAGUGCCAGGGCCCGAGUCGGAGUCUCCCUCCAGCAAGUCUGACUCAUCCCGGAACAGAGACCGAGACACGGCCAGCCCCAGCUCCGAGCAGAGCAACCGCCACAACCGGUCAACCUACCGCUGGCAUCCAAAGCCACACAGGACCUUGACAGGUGACACAGGCGAACUCCAGGCACUGCAGGAGGAGAAUGCUGAGCUGCACCAGAACCUGAUGCAAACAGUGGUCUGCAUCGAGAGCCUGGAGGCGGAGCUAGCCAGGGCCAGGGAGGAGCUUAGCCACAUGAAGGAGAAGUUCAAGAGGCUCCAGGACACACACACAGGUACCCAGCACACCAACAGCCUUCUGGGGGAGAAACUGCACUCAGCGACUGAGAGCCUUAGCUCUGAGAGGAAGUAUAUGGUGCAGCGUAUCGCCCAUCUCAGCACAGAGCUGGAGCAGGCCAACGCCACCAUCGCCUCUCUGGAGAACAUCAAUGUUCCCUGUCUGAUCAAGGAGCUCCUAGAGAAGCACUUUGACUCUGGAGACACUGUCAAGCAGUUCCUGAAGAACGCCUUGAAAACCGGCCAAUCCACAAGCGACAUCCAAUCACCUGCUACAAAACUGGAGCAGAAGCCAUCUGAUUGGUCAGGUGCAGGACUCAGGGAGUUUGAGGCGGGUCCACAAAAGGUCACUGCUUUUAUGCCCUGGAAGCAGGAGGAGGGGUUUGGGGUGAUAGGUCAGACAGGAAAUGAGGAUUCUCGCCCGAUGAGUCCCCCUUUCUCCGUCGCUGACAUCAGUAUGGCUAUCUAUAAGAAACUAGCUGCCAGCCAAGCGGCAAGACAGCCCCGGCCUUCCAACUACCAACCUCACACUGACACCCCUCCCAACCCCUACCCUCUGGUGGAGUUGGGUACAGGGGGUGCAGGAGGUGCAUGGGAGGAGGGUUACCUUGUGCCUGCUGUCAAGGAGGGCAUGGCAGUUGCAGGGAGAGCAGCUGAGAGUAAGCAGGGUGCUGUUGUUGAUGUGUCCUAUCUGACGGCCCAGAGGGUUCUGGAUGACUUCAUGCACCAGCUGACACACCCAGAGGAUGGGAGCGCAGGUGGGGAGAGGGGGCAUAAGGCCAACGGGGGAGGGGGAACAACUGAAGAGAAGGGGGCAGAGUGA